UGGGGAAUAUUGGGCAAUGGGGGGAAACCCCGUGACCCAGCAACGCCGCGUGAGGGAAGAAGGCUUUCGAGUUGUAAACCUCUGUCCUAUGGGAAGAAGAAAGUGACUGUACCAUAGGAGGAAGCUCCGGCUAACUACGUGCC
rnacentral:rRNA from 1 species